rnacentral:rRNA from 1 species
GACGAACGCUGGCGGCGUGCCUAAUACAUGCAAGUCGAACGAGAGCGACCGGUGCUUGCACUGGUCAAUCUAGUGGCGAACGGGUGAGUAACACGUGGGUAACCUGCCCAUCAGAGGGGGAUAACAUUCGGAAACGGAUGCUAAAACCGCAUAGGUCUUCGAACCGCAUGGUUUGAAGAGGAAAAGAGGCGCAAGCUUCUGCUGAUGGAUGGAACCGCGGUGCAUUAGCUAGUUGGUGAGGUAACGGCUCACCAAGGCCGUGAUGCAUAGCCGACCUGAGAGGGUGAUCGGCCACAUUGGGACUGAGACACGGCCCAAACUCCUACGGGAGGCAGCAGUAGGGAAUCUUCCGCAAUGGACGCAAGUCUGACGGAGCAACGCCGCGUGAGUGAAGAAGGUUUUCGGAUCGUAAAACUCUGUUGUUAGAGAAGAACAAGUGCUAGAGUAACUGUUAGCGCCUUGACGGUAUCUAACCAGAAAGCCACGGCUAACUACGAG